UCCCUGAUAGCUCAGUUGGUAGAGCAAUCGGCUGUUAACCGAUCGGUCGUAGGUUCGAGUCCUACUCAGGGAGCCA
rnacentral:tRNA from 5 species